GGUGGGGUGGUUUGGGGCACUGGUGGCCAAAGGUGCAGAGCAGCGACUUCGUCCUCCUGGGGCGUUCGCAGCCCUCAGCUCCAAGCCUCGCCUGCUUCCUCUGCUGGUGGCUGUGGAAGACGCCCCUUAGACUCCGACGCACGGGCCAGGGACACUGGGGAGAUUCCUCCGCUCUGUCACGGUUUCUUCUCUGGAUUCGAUGUCCUGGAUUUCAGCUGAGCCUUUGUCAACAAACAAAACAACAAGACAAAACAUAAAAACGUGACUGCUUUGUGAUUUUCCCCUCACAUAGAAAGCACCUGUAGUCUCCUGCAAGCGCCUUCUGCUUUGUGUUGAUCCUGUUGCCUGUGGCUAUGCUGAGCAGGCUCAGGAGGCCCCGGUGCCCGCUUCUCUGCAGGGCAGGAGGCUGCCCACCAGGCCUGAUUGGCGCCUUAGGAAAAGGCCCGGGAAGAGGGAACAGGCCUAAGAAAGCACGUCCUCUGGGGGGAGAAUCGUAGAACAGAAUCACCAGGCUGACUCUCCGAGGUGUGGAGGGCCCGAGGGAGAAGGGAGCUCAAGUGGCCCCGAGUGCGGUCAGCAUGGGGGUUUCCGAGACCUCGGGCUCCCAGAGUUUAGUUUUUGUGUGUCAAAUAUUUUUCUCUUGGAGAGAUGGAGAAUGUGCUGUGAGGCCCGCUGGGCUUCAGUCUUUGUUCCCUGCCCACAGACUGAGCGGGGGAGCUCGUUCCCUGCUCUGAGCCUCAGUUUCCUUCUCUGCACAGCAGACGUUAAGAGCCUGUUGCAGUAGUGCGUGCCUGUGGUCCCAGCACGCUGGGAGGUUGAAGCAGGAGGAUGGAAAAUUGGAAUUUACCCCCAGUAACUUAGUGACACCCUGUCUCAAAAUAAAAUACAAUUUAUGAAAAAGAA